rnacentral:rRNA from 1 species
AAUAGCUGAGGAAAAAGAACCAACCGGGAUUGCCUUAGUAACGGCGAGUGAAGCGGCAAAAGCUCAAAUUUGAAAUCUGGUACCUUCGGUGCCCGAGUUGUAAUUUGGAGAGGGCAACUUUGGGGCCGUUCCUUGUCUAUGUUCCUUGGAACAGGACGUCAUAGAGGGUGAGAAUCCCGUGUGGCGAGGAGUGCGGUUCUUUGUAAAGUGCCUUCGAAGAGUCGAGUUGUUUGGGAAUGCAGCUCUAAGUGGGUGGUAAAUUCCAUCUAAAGCUAAAUAUUGGCGAGAGACCGAUAGCGAACAAGUACAGUGAUGGAAAGAUGAAAAGAACUUUGAAAAGAGAGUGAAAAAGUACGUGAAAUUGUUGAAAGGGAAGGGCAUUUGAUCAGACAUGGUGUUUUGUGCCCUCUGCUCCUUGUGGGUAGGGGAAUCUCGCAUUUCACUGGGCCAGCAUCAGUUUUGGUGGCAGGAUAAAUCCAUAGGAAUGUAGCUUGCCUCGGUAAGUAUUAUAGCCUGUGGGAAUACUGCCAGCUGGGACUGAGGACUGCGACGUAAGUCAAGGAUGCUGGCAUAAUGGUUAUAUGCCGCCCGUCUUAA